UAGGGAAUCUUCCGCAAUGGACGCAAGUCUGACGGAGCAACGCCGCGUGAGUGAAGAAGGAUUUCGGUUCGUAAAACUCUGUUGUUAGAGAAGAACAGCGCAUAGAGUAACUGUUAUGCGUGUGACGGUAUCUAACCAGAAAGCCACGGCUAACUACGUGCCAGCAGCCGCGGUAAUACGUAGGUGGCAAGCGUUGUCCGGAUUUAUUGGGCGUAAAGCGAGCGCAGGCGGUCAAUUAAGUCUGAUGUGAAAGCCCCCGGCUCAACCGGGGAGGGGCAUUGGAGACUGGUUGACUUGAGUGCAGAAGAGGAGAGUGGAAUUCCAUGUGUAGCGGUGAAAUGCGUAGAUAUAUGGAGGAACACGAGUGGCGAAGGCGACUCUCUGGUCUGUAACUGACGAUGAGGCUCGAAAGCGUGGGUAGCAAACAGG
rnacentral:rRNA from 1 species